rnacentral:rRNA from 1 species
GUUUGAUCCUGGCUCAGAUUGAACGCUGGCGGCAUGCCUUACACAUACAAGUCGAACGGUAACAGGUCUUCGGAUGCUGACGAGUGGCGAACGGGUGAGUAAUACAUCGGAACGUGCCCGAUCGUGGGGGAUAACGAGGCGAAAGCUUUGCUAAUACCGCAUACGAUCUACGGAUGAAAGCGGGGGAUCUUCGGACCUCGCGCGGACGGAGCGGCCGAUGGCAGAUUAGGUAGUUGGUGGGAUAAAAGCUUACCAAGCCGACGAUCUGUAGCUGGUCUGAGAGGAUGAUCAGCCACACUGGGACUGAGACACGGCCCAGACUCCUACGGGAGGCAGCAGUGGGGAAUUUUGGACAAUGGGCGAAAGCCUGAUCCAGCCAUGCCGCGUGCAGGAUGAAGGCCUUCGGGUUGUAAACUGCUUUUGU